GACGGAGGGUGCAAACGUUGUUCGGAAUCACUGGGCGUAAAGGGCGCGCAGGCGGACUCGUAAGUCGGGAGUGAAAACUCGGGGCUCAACCCCGAGCCUGCUUCCGAAACUGCGAGUCUUGAGGACCGGAGAGGAAGGCGGAAUUCCCAGUGUAGCGGUGGAAUGCGUAGAUAUUGGGAAGAACACCAGUGGCGAAGGCGGCCUUCUGGACGGUACCUGACGCUGAGGCGCGAAAGCUAGGGGAGCAAAC
rnacentral:rRNA from 1 species